UGGGGGAUAUUGCACAAUGGGCGAAAGCCUGAUGCAGCGACGCCGCGUGGGGGAUGAAGGCCUUCGGGUUGUAAACUUCUUUUGCUCUGAACAAGGCAUGCCUUUGGGGUGUGUUGAGUGUAGGGGUUGAUUAGCGCCGGCUAACUACGUGCCAGCAGCCGCGGUAAUACGUAGGGCGCGAGCGUUGUCCGGAAUUAUUGGGCGUAAAGGGCUUGUAGGUGGCUGGUUGCGUCUGUCGUGAAAGCUCAUGGCUUAACUGUGGGUUUGCGGUGGGUACGGACUGGCUUGAGUGCAGUAGGGGAGGCUGGAAUUCCUGGUGUAGCGGUGGAAUGCGCAGAUAUCAGGAGGAAUACCGGUGGCGAAGGCGGGUCUCUGGGCUGUUACUGACGCUGAGGAGCGAAAGCGUGAGGAGCGAACAGG
rnacentral:rRNA from 1 species